AUACGGAGGAUGCAAGCGUUAUCCGGAUUUAUUGGGUUUAAAGGGUGCGUAGGCGGAUGAUUAAGCGUGAGGUGAAAUGCCACUGCUCAACAGUGGAACUGCCUCGCGAACUGGUUGUCUUGAAUGCUCCUGCCGUGGGAGGAAUGUGUGGUGUAGCGGUGAAAUGCAUAGAGAUCACACAGAACACCGAUUGCGAAGGCAUCUCACGAAGGGGUGAUUGACGCUGAGGCACGAAAGCGUGGGGAUCAAACAGGAUUAGAUACCCUGGUAGUCCACGCAGUAAACGAUGAUAACUAACCGCUGGGUCGUAGUGAUUCAGUGGCCAAGCGAAAGCGAUAAGCCAUCCACCUGGGGAGUACGACCGCAAGGUUGAAACUCAAAGGAAUUGACGGGG
rnacentral:rRNA from 1 species